rnacentral:lncRNA from 1 species
AAAAUCUGGGAAUUCUGACUCCACACUGACUCUUGGAACUCCAAUUUGGGAAUUGUCACCCCACAUUUACCCUUGGCACCCCAAAAUCCGGGAAUUCCGACCCCACAGAGACCCCCGGAACCCCCCCGGGACCCCCGGAGCCGGAGCUGACCGUCUACGCCGAGGUGGGAGAGAAGAAACCUCGCCAGCACCCCGCUGGGACCAUCGAGGCCACUCAGGAAGGAGCCACCGUCUACGCCGUGGUCAGUCCCAGGAUGCUGGAGCACCCCAGGCACCGGGAGGAACCCGGGAAUUUCACCCUCUACUCCAUGGUCCAGUUCAGCCGGAAGCCUUCCUCCAAGGGGAAGAGGCUGGACCCAGCUUUGGUCUCCACCGCCUACUUGGAGGAUAACAGGGGUUACAGGCGCCCCUAAAACCCCGGAAUUCCCAUCCCCGUGGAAUUCUUCUCCCGGCAACUCCAGCGGCCGCUGGGAUCCCACCCGAUGGAUCAGAAAUAUCCAGAAAUUCGGGGUUUUCCCCCAAGAUUCAACCCCUGGCUGUGCCUUGGAGCGAAGAUUUGGGGAUGGGAAAGCGCGGAAGGGAUGGAUUUGGGAUUGGGCAGACGGGAUGGGCGGGGAGCGGGAAUUUUGUGGGGUUGGAAAGUUUGGGAAUCCUUGGAUUUUCUUCUUCUUGGUGCAAAUACUGCUGAGCUGCACAAUGAACCUGUUUAAUUAAUUAAUUGGCUGAUGAGAGCCUGGAUUACUCCUCG